UUGUGUCAGCGAAAGCUUUGAUGCCAACAAUGUUAGUUCAAGAACACAAAGAUAAAACAAUCACACAUACGGUACACGAGGUUUUAACGUGGUUCGGCCAACCAUGCCUACGUUCACGGAUGAGAGAGAAUAAUUCCACUAUACAAUAGAGAAUAUUACAGAGGAUAGAACCAGAUACAACUAUUGGGUUCCCGAAACAUCCCAUGUUUCCCCACUCCUUGUAUCCAUACCUUACUACGAGCCCUCUCGCUCCACCAGGUACCUCCCGUUCUUCCUCACAUCUCUAUCCACCUCGUAUAGUCUCUAUAGGCCCAUCUCCAUCUCAUAACUUUUUCCUCUCAUGACCUAGAAUAUUUAUAGAGAUAUUUCUAACAACCUUCUUUAUUAUAUAAGGAAGUCUAAUAUUACAAUAAUAUAUUAACCUAGAAAUAUUUUAUACAAUAUUCUUUACAAAAAAGGAAUAUUUACUAAUUAGGAAUUUGGGACAAUUCCCAACAAUCUCCACCUUGGACCAAAUUGCAUGAAGUUAAUCUUCAAUCUCUCCAUGACACAAACCUUUUUGUAUCAUAUCACCACGAAAGAGCAAUCGACUCCACCUUCAGUGAAAAUUUCUUUUGUUUUCAUCUUGUGUGCUUUGUGAUCUUUUCCUCUUCCAGAAAUCUUCAACCCAAGCUCUGAUACCAAUUGUUGUGCCAGCGAAAGCUUUGAUGCCAACAAUGUUAGUUCAAGAACACAAAGAUAAAACAAUCACACAUACAGUACACGAGGUUUUAACGUGGUUCGGCCAACCAUGCCUACGUCCACGGAUGAGAGAGAAUAAUUCCACUAUACAAUAGAGAAUAUUACAGAGGAUAGAACCAGAUACAACUAUUGGGUUCCCGAAACAUCCCAUGUUUCCCCACUCCUUGUAUCCAUACCUUACUACGAGCCCUCUCGCUCCACCAGGUACCUCCCGUUCUUCCUCACAUCUCUAUCCACCUCGUAUAGUCUCUAUAGGCCCAUCUCCAUCUCAUAACUUUUUC
rnacentral:lncRNA from 1 species